UGCGCGGUAGUUUAUGAAAAUGCUUGUUUUACACGCAAGGGAUCCCUCGUGGCCAUGCAA
rnacentral:tRNA from 1 species